UUUCCGUAGGUGAACCUGCGGAAGGAUCAUUAUUGUAUAACCAAGGUGCGAUGGCUUUCGCUCACCCGAGAGGUCUUGCACGCCCGAGUGCACUCACACACAUACAUACAACCGCUCAGUUCAACAGCGCGUGGGUCCCGCUUUGGCUUGUUCGGAGUGGGGAGUACGUGUUGACACAAACUUUUGAUGCAGUGUAGAAUGUAUUUUUUGUUUUUGCUAUGAAGAAAGCAAUACAACUUUCGACAACAGAUCUCAUGGCACUUGCAUCGAUGAAUAACU
rnacentral:misc_RNA from 1 species